rnacentral:lncRNA from 1 species
UGGUCCGAGAAGGCCCGGCCCAAAGUAAUCCAUAGCAGUCAAAGGCCAAGUCUUUGCAGUGGCGGAUGCUGCCUUAUGAAACAGAUUCACCUCAGAAUUACCAGAAGGACUACUGCUGGUGGUCAGAGGAGCGGUGGUCGUAGUAGUAGUAGUGUUGCCAAUCCCACCCGUUAAAAGCUCAGUGAAGGUUGAGUUCUGAGACAUUGUGUUGCUGAGAUGAUUCUGGUGGUGUACGUUGGAAUCUUUCUCUUUCUCCUUGGCUGCAGCUUUCUCCCUUGCUCUAUCCCUGGCCUUAACGCGACUAACCCUCACGUCGGACCUCGAGAGUGACAAGCCAGAACCUUUACUCGUCUCCGAGUUGCAACUGCAAGCUGAUU